AGUCGAACGGUGAAGCAGAGCUUGCUCUGUGGAUCAGUGGCGAACGGGUGAGUAACACGUGAGCAAUCUGCCCCUGACUCUGGGAUAACAGUUGGAAACAGCUGCUAAUACCGGAUACGAGCUGAGAAGGCAUCUUCAUCAGCUGGAAAGAAUUUCGGUCAGGGAUGAGCUCGCGGCCUAUCAGCUUGUUGGUGAGGUAAUGGCUCACCAAGGCGUCGACGGGUAGCCGGCCUGAGAGGGUGACCGGCCACACUGGGACUGAGACACGGCCCAGACUCCUACGGGAGGCAGCAGUGGGGAAUAUUGCACAAUGGGCGCAAGCCUGAUGCAGCAACGCCGCGUGAGGGACGACGGCCUUCGGGUUGUAAACCUCUUUUAGCAGGGAAGAAGCGAAAGUGACGGUACCUGCAGAAAAAGCACCGGCUAACUACGUGCCAGCAGCCGCGGUAAUACGUAGGGUGCAAGCGUUAUCCGGAAUUAUUGGGCGUAAAGAGCUCGUAGGCGGUUUGUCACGUCUGCUGUGAAAUCCCGAGGCUCAACCUCGGGUCUGCAGUGGGUACGGGCAGACUAGAGUGCGGUAGGGGAGAUUGGAAUUCCUGGUGUAGCGGUGGAAUGCGCAGAUAUCAGGAGGAACACCGAUGGCGAAGGCAGAUCUCUGGGCCGUUACUGACGCUGAGGAGCGAAAGGGUGGGGAGCAAACAGGCUUAGAUACCCUGGUAGUCCACCCCGUAAACGUUGGGAACUAGUUGUGGGGACCAUUCCACGGUCUCCGUGACGCA
rnacentral:rRNA from 1 species